GCGCCGGUUUAGCUCAGUGGUUACUUCACAUGGUUGCACCUGAGUUGGGGUUCUCGAAUUCCGUCUCCAACCACGGGCGCUGCCCGGCGUUUUA
rnacentral:vault_RNA from 1 species